CAGUAGCCGCGGUAAAACGUAGGGUGCAAGCGUUAAUCGGAAUUACUGGGCGUAAAGCGUGCGCAGGCGGUUCUAUAAGACAGAUGUGAAAUCCCCGGGCUCAACCUGGGGACUGCAUUUGUGACUGUAAAGCUGGAGUGCGGCAGAGGGGGAUGGAAUUCCGCGUGUAGCAGUGAAAUGCGUAGAUAUGCGGAGGAACACCGAUGGCGAAGGCAAUCCCCUGGGCCUGCACUGACGCUCAUGCACGAAAGCGUGGGGAGCGAACAGGAUUAGAUACCCCGGUAGUCCCUGUCUCUUAUAC
rnacentral:rRNA from 1 species